rnacentral:lncRNA from 1 species
GGAGGGUCACGGAGUACGGGGCGGUGGGGGACGGCAAGACGCUCAACACGGCGGCGUUCGCCAGGUUCGUCCUGUUCUUGGAUUUUCGCUUGCUUCUUUGUUUCUUCUUUUUGACCGAGCAGGUGAGCUGAUUUUGGAUUUGUCAUCCUAGUUUCUGCAGCUGUUGGAGGAGGACUUGGUGGUGCUAAGGAGUGGAGUACUGCAAGGACGGACGCCGCUUCCGUUGAACUCAGGUGAGCUUGCGAAUCCGCGACAGCCUUGGUGAUUUUACUGUUACUGCUACUCUAUUAGUCGUGGAAUUCGGGAGAGCUUGGGUUCGAAUUUUGUUUUCUGGGAUUUUUAUCGGGGUAUAUGCAACUGUAUAACUUUAAAUUGGCUUGCCCCUGGGUGUUCUUGGUUGGUGAUUCGGCAAUGAUUUGAAGCGGUCUGGCUUAUCAGCCGGUGGUUAGGUGGAGCGGGGUUAUUAUAGUUUCGGUACAGGAGGGGGAAAGGUGGCACAAAUCUGGGGGUAGGGCAUGUUUCUGCCUGAUUGAUCCAAUCAUUUUUUUUCUUCUGGUAUCAAUCAAUCAUGCCAGCAUCUGAAACGGAUUAUCAAAUCUGAAUUGGCACUGUUUUUUGUAUAUAAUGAUACCAUACAACUCGAGAUGAACAUAUGCUUGACUGAAUAGCUGUUCAUACAUCUGGAGGUGUUACCAUGAGUACAAUUACCAUUCAGAAAGAAAAAAACUAUGAGUAAAAUGCAGAGAACACACUUCCAGACUAUCAAUCAUGCAUGCCCAUAUCAUUUGCUUUGCUUAAUGUUUCUUAGUUUAACUUACUAAUCUCUUGUCUGUGUAUUUUUUGCUGCCACAGGGGAUCCAAAUAGGUUGCAACUAGGAGUAAAAUAUGUGUCUAAACUGAUCGGCUGGUGCGAAAAUCGACGACCAAGAUCCAGUUAUGUGUAUUGCAGGACAACACCUUUCAUUAGAUACACUUUGAUGCUAUUUCUAGCAUGAAUUUCUAUUUCAGACUUAAAACUAAAAUUCUGAACAACUAAAAUCGCUCUUGUUCCUUAUUUUUGUAGGGCGGUUCCUCUCGUUUUACUGGUUCGUCCGCUCCUUCAUGAUUGAUGUACUGGUUCUGGCCGCUCCUUCGUGAUAGACUCGGUUAACUCUUUGUUAGCCUUGUGGGUCGUAAUUCUUUCUCUCCAGACGCAUAUACUGCCUGAUGUAUUGCUCAUGCUCAUUCUGUACCAAGAUAGACCUAAUAUCCGUAGGGUUGUAGAUUGAUUUCCCCUGAAAAUGCUAUGCUUCUUUCCUUGGAUGAUAAGCAUGUUCCGCAGCUAUGUGGAAUUCUUAAGAUAAACGGUCUUUAGUUUCUUUUGGUGCAUCUGCGUGCACAUAACAGUCUGUUAGUUUCUCAGUCUGUUAGUUUCUCUUUAUAUAAUGAAAAAAAUAUGUUGUUGUCUCUUGUUUAUUAUUAUCUAUCAUUUGUAGAUUGAUUUUUAGGCCACCAGUACUUGUAUGUAUAAUUUCUAGUCUCUUGAAUGAAUAAUUUUUCUUUAUGUCUCAUGCGUCUUGUGCUACUACUUACUACAUACAUCUGUCGUGAAGUACAUGGUUCCGGAACUAUGGUAACCCGUAGUUUGCUCUACCCGUGAUAGUAGGAUGAUGGAAGCAUCACUACUGAAUGUAGUUCAUGUUUCUUCAUAUAAUCAUCAUUUACUAGAGUUUCUCUUCUUCCCGCUACUACUUGGUUUUUGAUGCCACUAGCUUGUACUGAAAUGUAAACACAUCAUAUUGUUUUCAUCAGACCAGUGUACCUUGAGCAUGCAAAGUAAACACAUGCUACUCCACUUAUCUAUUUGU